GUGUUGUGUAACAGUUUCCUCCUAGAUUGAAACAUUCCAUACUGCAAGAAAUCUCCUUAAGCAGGAAGACAAGCAGUUUAAAACUGCUUCAGGAAGUCCCCAAAACUGUUCAGAUUCCACUAUGUCUCCAUAUGAAGAAUGUGGUUCUUUCUUGCUGGAAUCCAGAGUUGCAAUUUGUCUUGGACAACAACAUACAAGGAAGAGUGAAUCCUAAAAAAAACUUAGGUUGUGUCCAUUUCCACUUGGACUCCUCUGCCUCUGCUAUGACACAAGCCCAUCUGAGGUAUCCCAGGCUCCUUUACCUUAGCUGUCAAAUGGAUGUCCCCAAGCUAGAGCUGCUGUGAUCAACUUGAAAAAUUUCAAUGAGAAGCAUGGUCUCCCUACUGAGCCCAAAUCCACCCACCCCACGUAUAUGAGGACUAAAGGGCUGCAGUUCAAAAUCUCAAGUUGACAGCAGCAACUACUUAGACUGUAGCAAUGUAUGAAUAUGGCCUGUGUCUGUUGGACCUGUUGUACUGCUUCCUUCUCUUAUUGGUACAACAAGAUAUCUGAGGAGGGCAGUUUAAGGAAAGGAGUUUGUCUUGGCUCAUGGUUUAAGAAAGGGUAAAAGACUGGGGAGAUGGCAUAGAAAUGAGACUGUGGUAACUACUCAUAUUGUGUCCAUUCAGGGUACACAAAGAGAUGACAGCUAAUGCUCAACUCAUCUUUUCCUUUUUAUUUACUCCAGUACCAAAGCCUCUGAGGUGGUUCUGCCCACAUUCAGGAUAGGUCUUCUCUUCUCUAUUCAAGCCCUAGGAAAAUAUCCUCACAGACACACUCAGCUGUGUCCCCCAAGGUAUUUUAAACCCCUUCAAGCUGACAAUGAAGACUAACCACCACACUCUGCCUAAGACGUAAUGUCCCAGUGACAUGCCACGGGAUGGAACCUUCUCUGCAGCCGACUGUGCUCCAUGAACUUCGCCCAAAUUCUGGGGAACCCAAAUGAAGCAAGCUAACAUCACUCUGCCAAGG
ensembl:lncRNA LOC102553457 uncharacterized LOC102553457